GACGAACGCUGGCGGCGUGCCUAAUACAUGCAAGUGGGACGCAAGGGAACACACUGUGCUUGCACACCGUGUUUUCUUGAGUCGCGAACGGGUGAGUAACGCGUAGGUAACCUGCCUAUUAGCGGGGGAUAACUAUUGGAAACGAUAGCUAAUACCGCAUAAUAUUAAUUAUUGCAUGAUAAUUGAUUGAAAGAUGCAAGCGCAUCACUAGUAGAUGGACCUGCGUUGUAUUAGCUAGUUGGUAAGGUAAGAGCUUACCAAGGCGACGAUACAUAGCCGACCUGAGAGGGUGAUCGGCCACACUGGGACUGAGACACGGCCCAGACUCCUACGGGAGGCAGCAGUAGGGAAUCUUCGGCAAUGGACGAAAGUCUGACCGAGCAACGCCGCGUGAGUGAAGAAGGUUUUCGGAUCGUAAAGCUCUGUUGUAAGUCAAGAACGUGUGUGA
rnacentral:rRNA from 1 species